CUUCUAUAUUUGAAUAAAUUUAGGUACUACUUAAUUUUUAAGGAAACCAAUACAGUUUGACGGCAUUAUUUUAAUUUAGAGGAACCUGUUUACUAAUCGACAAUACACGAUAAAUUUUACUUUUAUUCACAUUUUACAUACCUCCGUCUUGAGGAUUAAUGUUUAAAUUUCCCCUAAAUAGAGUUCUAAUAAGUUAGGUAAAGGUGUAGACAAUAUAAAAGUUAUAGAUAGGUUACUUAUAAAUUCUAUUUAAGGAAUUAUUUUUAAAUAAGUAACGUAAAAAGGAUUUAUUAGUAUUUUAAGACUAUUAUUCUUGACCGAAUCUAUUAAAUAAUGUGUACACAUC
rnacentral:rRNA from 1 species